rnacentral:rRNA from 1 species
GACAGCAGUCGCCACGGUAAAACAGAGGGUGCGAGCGUUAAUCGGAUUUACUGGGCGUAAAGCGUGCGUAGGCGGCUUUUUAAGUCGGAUGUGAAAUCCCUGAGCUUAACUUAGGAAUUGCAUUCGAUACUGGGAAGCUAGAGUAUGGGAGAGGAUGGUAGAAUUCCAGGUGUAGCGGUGAAAUGCGUAGAGAUCUGGAGGAAUACCGAUGGCGAAGGCAGCCAUCUGGCCUAAUACUGACGCUGAGGUACGAAAGCAUGGGGAGCAAACAGGAUUAGAGACCCCCGUAGUCCCUGUCUCUUAUAC